UACGCACGAGGUGCAUGCAGACACUUCAGUUUGCUGUGGGGGCUUUCCCAUUUGAAAGAUAUAUCUUCUAGUUUGUCUAUGAGCUAUUUGAUUGGUUAGUUUAACUUUGUUUUUCCAUCAUAAUUAAAAUGAGAUGAUUAAUGGAGUUUGAGGGGUGGAACAAGAAAGAGACCUCGGGGAUGCACAUAUAGAACCUUCCAUGUCCUUCUGGGUUUUAUAUAUAUGAAUAUAAAUAUAGUCAUCAAACAUUUGGGGUUUGCUUACCUUAGCAAUCAUGAGUCCACCAGCUAUCAUUACAACUGAAGAGAAAUCCCUCUUUGCUCUUCUUUUUCCCUCUCUCAUAAUUUAUUACAUAGCCACCAGCCAGCCCACCAGUGAAAUUUAUUCACCAGACCAAACUAUAUUUAUAGCACCUUAUAUCCUUCUUCUUCCUCCCAAUUCCCCCCCCCCCCUCUCUUCAUUUUCAAUUAUAUACAUACCUAAACAAGAUGUGUAAAAACAUGGAUUGGAGUCCAUUCCCAUCUCAUCCCACCAUUGCUUCUUCAAAGAGAAGGCAUAGAUUAAAACAUUCUAAGGUUCAAAUUUACAGGCUUUCCAGGAAAAGAUGGGAAGAAAAUAUGAAGAAAGACAUGGAACUAAUGAACUUGAAGCUGUACUUAGAGAACCAAAGUAUCAUUGAAGAGAAUGAGAAGUUAAGGAAGAAAGCCAGUCUUCUCCAACAAGAGAACUUAGCUUUAAUGUCGGAGUACCAGAAGAAGUUUCCUCAUUUGGAUCGUUUUUCAACCACCCUUUUGCUUCUUCUGCAACAAAAACACUGAUGAUAUAAAGCUUAAGAAAAAAUUAAUUAUCUGCAUAAAUCGAUGUAUGUUAGCAACAACAUGGGAUUUUGUAGCUUGAUAUUUUUGUUUUCAACUCUGAUUAAGAUAAAAUGAUUUCCAUGUAUCACCAGAAUUCUCCAUUUGUUUCACAUAUAUGCUAUAUAUAUAGUUUGCCUUUUUCAGCAAGGAAUAGAGGAACUAAUGGCAGAAAGUAUGAUUUAUAAGGUUAGGGUUGGAGAGUCAUUUAUCCAUUUCAUUUGAUGAUAUUAUUGACAAGCUUGUAAACAUACAUGAUUGGUUUAAAGAUUUAAGCUUUACUCUGA